CAUAUAUGAAGAAGAAAUUUUGGGUAAUUCUCAUGGCAGAGAGAUAAAGGGGAGACUUCGUCUUGAGUGUUUUGAAACUAAAGAUUCAUUUUCUUCAGGCUAGAGGAUGUUGGUUAUGCCGUUUAGAGCGGGGGUUCUUGAACUUCUUUGUCAUAGAGAUAAGGUGAACGAAAGAAAGGCUAUCGACGAAUUGCUAUUGUUAGGACAGAGGGUUGCGAAGCUUGAACGUUUACGGCCGCUUGAAUCACACGAUAAUAAGAUUACUUAUAGCAAAUGUUCUUCAUUCAAGACGGUGAAUGGAAAUCUCCCACUACAAAUUUCAGACGAUUCAGACGCAAUGAAUGCGGCUUUGUUGAAGAUGUCCCAUCAUCCAAGAAGAUUCUUGCUACACUAAGGACUGGUAGUGAUAAAUAAAGACGAAGCAUUUAUUGGAAUGUCAAAGCGGUCUUACAUGGAGGUGGUAAUGAACGGUUUAAACUCCAACGACUUGGUUGAUGUUGGUCCAAUCUCUGCAUUAGUGUUUCAAUUUCAGACGCCUAGGUGCUGAUAAAAUUUACAAUGUUUUCAACAAUCAACUUCCUGCAGUUUUGAAAAAAUUGAAAUUUGAUAAGCAACUCGCGAUGGAGAAUGUAUGAAAGAUAAUUAAUGAAGCAGAUGAUUACCAAUCACAUCUUAUCGCCCCUGAACAAGGAUAUCGCUGUCUCAUUGAAUCUUUGUUAAUUACUAUUAGAGGCCAUGCAGAGGUAGCAGUUGAUGGGUAGGCAUUAUUUUAACUCACUGCCUAUAUCACAAACAUAGUUGUACACACUAGUGUAAAUUAACAUUUAAAAAUGAAAGAGCUUUCCGAAUAUAUAAAGUUUGUGAAUUUUGGA